rnacentral:rRNA from 1 species
CGGGGUGAGUAACGCGUGGAUAACCUGCCUCACACUGGGGGAUAACAGUUAGAAAUGACUGCUAAUACCGCAUGAGCGCACAGUACCGCAUGGUACGGUGUGAAAAACUCCGGUGGUGUGAGAUGGAUCCGCGUCUGAUUAGCCAGUUGGCGGGGUAACGGCCCACCAAAGCGACGAUCAGUAGCCGACCUGAGAGGGUGACCGGCCGCAUUGGGACUGAGACACGGCCCAA